rnacentral:rRNA from 1 species
AUUGAACGCUGGCGGAAUGCUUUACACAUGCAAGUCGAGCGGCAGCGCGGCCUUCGGGCUGGCGGCGAGCGGCGAACGGGUGAGUAAUGCAUCGGAACAUGCCCAGUCGUGGGGGAUAACACUUCGAAAGAAGUGCUAAUACCGCAUACGUCCUGAGGGGGAAAGCGGGGGAUCGCAAGACCUCGCGCGAUUGGAGUGGCCGAUGUCAGAUUAGCUAGUUGGUGGGGUAAAGGCCUACCAAGGCGACGAUCUGUAGCUGGUCUGAGAGGAUGAUCAGCCACACUGGGACUGAGACACGGCCCAGACUCCUACGGGAGGCAGCAGUGGGGAAUUUUGGACAAUGGGGGCAACCCUGAUCCAGCCAUACCGCGUGAGUGAAGAAGGCCUUCGGGUUGUAAAGCUCUUUCGGCAGGAACGAAACGGUGGGCUCUAACAUAGUCCGCUAAUGACGGUACCUGAAGAAGAAGCACCGGCUAACUACGUG